CAAAACAUGGCUUCUUGAAUUUAAUAUAUGAGAAGUCGUACCUGCCCAGUGAAAUUUUAACGGCCGCGGUACUCUGACCGUGCAAAGGUAGCAUAAUAAUUUGCCUUAUAAUUGAAGGCUGGAAUGAAUGGUUUGUCAAGGAUAAAACUGUCUCUAUAAAAUUUUAUAGAAUUUUAUUUUUAGGUGAAAAAGCCUAAAUUUCAUUAAAAGACAAGAAGACCCUAUCGAGCUUUAAAAAACUUGAUAAAUAUUUACAACUAAUUAGAAGUUUAAUUAUAAAAAAUUUUGGUUGGGGCAACCUGGGAGCAAAUAAAGCCUCCCUUAUUUUUUAAAACAUUUUUGUUAAGAUCCAAAAAUUUUGAUUAAAAGAAAUAGUUACCGUAGGGAUAACAGCAUUAUUUUUUUAGAGAGCUCUUAUCGAAAAAAAAGUUUGUGACCUCGAUGUUGGACCAGAAUAUCCUGAAGAUGUAGAAGUCUUCAAGGGUUGGUCUGUUCGACCAUUAAAAUUCUACGUGAUC
rnacentral:rRNA from 1 species